GCUUAUCCCCAUUCCAGAUUGAAUAUACCCGAUCUCGUCUGAUCUCGGAAGUCAAGCAAUCUCGGGCUUGGUUAGUACUUGGAUGGGUGACCGCUUGCGAAUACCAAGUGUGAUAAGCA
rfam:Ciona savignyi cont_51451, whole genome shotgun sequence.